GAGAGUUUGAUCCUGGCUCAGGACGAACGCUGGCGGCGCGCCUAACACAUGCAAGUCGAACGAGCGAGAGAGAGCUUGCUUUCUCGAGCGAGUGGCGAACGGGUGAGUAACGCGUGAGGAACCUGCCUCAAAGAGGGGGACAACAGUUGGAAACGACUGCUAAUACCGCAUAAGCCCACAGCUCGGCAUCGAGCAGAGGGAAAAGGAGCAAUCCGCUUUGAGAUGGCCUCGCGUCCGAUUAGCUAGUUGGUGAGGUAACGGCCCACCAAGGCGACGAUCGGUAGCCGGACUGAGAGGUCGAACGGCCACAUUGGGACUGAGACACGGCCCAGACUCCUACGGGAGGCAGCAGUGGGGAAUAUUGCACAAUGGGGGAAACCCUGAUGCAGCGACGCCGCGUGGAGGAAGAAGGUCUUCGGAUUGUAAACUCCUGUUGUUGAGGAAGAUAACGACGGUACUCAACAAGGAAGUGACGGCUAACUACGUGCCAGCAGCCGCGGUAAAACGUAGGUCACAAGCGUUGUCCGGAAUUACUGGGUGUAAAGGGAGCGCAGGCGGGAAGACAAGUUGGAAGUGAAAUCCAUGGGCUCAACCCAUGAACUGCUUUCAAAACUGUUUUUCUUGAGUAGUGCAGAGGUAGGCGGAAUUCCCGGUGUAGCGGUGGAAUGCGUAGAUAUCGGGAGGAACACCAGUGGCGAAGGCGGCCUACUGGGCACCAACUGACGCUGAGGCUCGAAAGUGUGGGUAGCAAACAGGAUUAGAUACCCUGGUAGUCCACACUGUAAACGAUGAUUACUAGGUGUUGGAGGAUUGACCCCUUCAGUGCCGCAGUUAACACAAUAAGUAAUCCACCUGGGGAGUACGACCGCAAGGUUGAAACUCAAAGGAAUUGACGGGGGCCCGCACAAGCAGUGGAGUAUGUGGUUUAAUUCGACGCAACGCGAAGAACCUUACCAAGUCUUGACAUCCUGCGAUGCACAUAGAAAUAUGUGUUUCCUUCGGGACGCAGAGACAGGUGGUGCAUGGUUGUCGUCAGCUCGUGUCGUGAGAUGUUGGGUUAAGUCCCGCAACGAGCGCAACCCUUAUGGUCAGUUACUACGCAAGAGGACUCUGGCCAGACUGCCGUUGACAAAACGGAGGAAG
rnacentral:rRNA from 1 species